CAAUAGCGUAUAUUAAAGUUGUUGCAGUUAAAAAGCUCGUAGUUGGAUUUCAAAGUGUAUAUGAGGGGAUUCCCUCUAAAGCUUAUCAGUCCGUAAGGACUGUUACUGUGAGAAAAUUAGAGUGUUUCAAGCAGGCAAUUGCAGGAAUACAUUAGCAUGGAAUAACGAGUGUGUCUAGAAUCUUGGUUAAUUCUAGAUUACGAUUAAUAGGGACAGUUGGGGGCAUUAGUAUUUAAUUGUCAGAGGUGAAAUUCUUGGAUUUAUUAAAGACUAACAUAUGCGAAAGCAUUUGCCAAGGAUGUUUUCAUUAAUCAAGAACGAAAGAUUGGGGAUCAAAGAUGAUCAGAUACCGU
rnacentral:rRNA from 1 species